rnacentral:lncRNA from 1 species
GGGGAAAGUCUGUUAAGAAUUAAAAAAUCCAUAGCUAACAUCCAUUUUAAAAUUAUCCAGGGAGAAAUUCAAUCAUGGACUGAGGUUUUCCUGUUUUGGAUUGAUGAAUAAAAAGGCUUGGGCUUUGAAACCCAGCCAACUUUGUGAUGUCAAACACAUCCUCUCCUUGGUGGUGCUGCAGCCCUCACCAACACAGACUCCUCAACGCCCUGUUGCUGCAAAGCCGAGCUGAAGCGCACUGGGGAGCAGAGAAGGUGCUCGGACCCAGGCAAGCAGGGGGCAGACAAAUAAGUCUUAAAAAUAGGAGGGGAAGAGGGGAAGACAGAGAAAUCCUGGAUCACUGCUUGGGACAGACAUACUUGUCAAACAAACCCCAUUCUGUUGAGGCUCAAUCUCUCCUGCUCUUUGCAGAGCAGAGAGGACAAGCAAGCCAUGAGGGUGUAUCUCUCCGCCACACUGGCCAUACUCCAGGUGGGCUCCCAAGACUGUUGCCUGCCUGCUUCCCACUCUCCUUGUUUGUUCCUCUUCCGCAAAAAUGAACGUCUGUCCAAACAGUCUCCUGGGCGAGACUUGUGAAGCAGGAGAAUAGAGCCGCAGUGCAGUCUUCAGUGGAGGUGAAACACAUCCAGAAAUUUUCCAUCUGCCUCACCAAGGAAGAUUACCUGAGGAUGGACUGUGUGCCUACAUGCAGCUCUGUGCCUUACUUCUGCUCCUUCUUGGAGAACGGGAUGCUGAUCGGCAGCACGGACCCAGGGAGGUUACCACACCCCAGCUACAAGCUCAGGUCUAACCUCACUGUGGCUGCGGAUGGCUCAUGUCGCCUCACUGUGACCGAGCAGCUGGGCCUGGCCAACAAGACCUACUUCUGCUCCUUGCAGAUAAAGAAGAAGUUGAAGAAGGUGAACAGACACAAAGACGCGCAGAGAAGGACAGGAACCUCAAACAUAACUCUGAACAACGGGACUCUCCCCCGAUGCUCGGGGCCCUCUGCGCCCCACGCGCUCCUCCAGGAGUUGAUGCUGCUCGUGCUGCUGUCCACGCAUGUGGCAGCUGAGCUCCUGUGAGCCGGAUACGCGCUGCCCCUCCGGGCUGGGAAAUCAGUCUGCUACCACACUCGGCGGCCAUCAGUAAAUCUUUCCCUCUUCACGCCUGUACAUGCAGGAACAGUCCAGAAAUGUGAACCUUGUUUUGUCAGAAAAUUCCCAGAUUUGUCCAUGUGUGCUUCCCUAAAUGGACAAACGAACAAACUGUCAAACAGGUUUCCCUUGACCUGAAGUGUGAUAGUAGCCUCAUGUUCUUGUAAAUAUUAUGACUUAAGAAAGGCAAUAUCUGCAAAAGUUAAAGUUAUGAAAGUAUUCAUUGGUUGUGGCUUUUAAAGCUCUCCUUUAUAGAUUUAUAUGUUGAUCCUAGAGAAACUGUUUUAAGGUGCAGAUAAACAGACUGUUUUUUCUAGAUUAGUAUUUGUGUUGCUUUUCCACAAUAGCAAGUUUAUAGGUUGCAGACUGACGUGUAAAAAUGAAAUCAUAAAUGACACUUGCCUAAUGGCACUUCUGCUAAUUCUAACUUGCUUCAGUUAGAAUACCAGAACAAACACGGCUGUUGUGGGCAGCUAGUGUCGAAAUCAUAGCUGUGUCACCUUGUGGUCAUUGCUGUUUUUUGUCAAUACUUUUCACAGAAUCCACAUUCUCCUCAGCCUGCAUAUAUUUAGUCCUUAAACUAGCAGUAGACUUUCAGAUAAUUGUGCAUGAGGAAAUACUAGGGUUUAUUUCAAGUAGGAGAUAAGAUAUGUACUAGACUCAAGAGUGUCACAACCCUUACCAGGAGUAAUUGUUUUGGGUUUUUUUGGAUAAUGGAUAUAACCAUUAAAAGCUUUGGUUUAUAAGAAUCCUUCCAUUUUCAAACCGCUUCUUCCAAUUCAGGUUUGCGAGGGAGCUAGUGCCUAUUCCCAGCAAGCAUGCUGUUGCAAAAAGCAUGUUGCUAUUGCAAUUAUAAAAGCUUUUAACACAUUAAUAAAAAUAGCUGGACUGAUCUUUGAAAGCCUUGCUUGAUGUUUCCCACUUCAAGAUGUCUCUUUCCUGAAUCUCUGAUGACUUCUUAAACCAUAAGAAUCCUUGACAGUGACCAGACUCCUGCAUUUAGACACUGAACGCAACACUAGGGGUAGUCAACAGUACCUGCGUGGCACUAUGCGAGGGGUGAGAUCUAAAACAGGGGCUCAG